CGGGUGAGUAUCGCGUGGGUAAUCUACCUAGAGGUGUGGGAUAGCCUCGGGAAACCGGGGGUAAUACCGCAUGAGUCCUCGACGGCAUAAGUCGACGAGAGGAAAGGCGGGGCUCCUUCGGGACCUGUCGCCUCUAGAUGAGCCCGCGUCCGAUUAGCUAGUUGGUGGGGUAAUGGCCCACCAAGGCGACGAUCGGUAGCCGGCCUGAGAGGGUGAACGGCCACAUUGGGACUGAGACACGGCCCAG
rnacentral:rRNA from 1 species